rnacentral:lncRNA from 1 species
CCUUGUGAGACGUUGGCAGAGUGCGUGUCUUUUAUCGGGCUCGGCGCAGCGCCGCGCCACCGCCGCGACGUCCAUUUUUAAUGACGCGACGUGACAGGCGGGUCGGCGCACAGAAAAAUACAAGGCCCACGCCUUGUCCGCCCCGUCAAGGACGCUGCCAACGGCAGCCGAUGGCCCGAUACGCGGCGUUUUAUUUCACUCACCAUUCGCCGCUGCUCUCAUCGUUUAUUUUCUCAAUCGUUCAAUGUUUGUCGACAUUGGAGUAUCGUAAACGAGCAACAGCUCUUAUAUCAGUAACGGAAGAAUGACGCCACUGCAUCACAUUAGAUGCAGGACUUGACACCGCAGACUCUUCUACAUGUGUGGCGCCAUCUCAGAGGCAUGUGCUUACAGCUUCUCAGGAAAAAUCUCAUUGCUUCUCGGAUAACAUGGACAAACAUAAAAACUUUGAAGAGUGUCAGUGACAUUGUAAUUGUACCAUAGACAGCAAAAUAUUUGAAUUGAACAGUAUCAACGGUGUCUUGAUAAGAUAUUACGUAACGCAAUGUAGUCGAAUCAAAUAAUGUGAUGUUCAGGGAAUUAGAAUAGAAAAUGAGACACUAGAAAUAAUCGGACGCCAAAGAAGUGAACAUUGCUGAAAUAAAUUACCAGCAGCAAGAAAACAUUUCCAAAAAAAAAAAGGUAAACGUCGAAUGUAAAUGUGUUGAGAAGGUUUGUAUUAAGGUAUUUUUCGGGAGUGUACCCUUGUAAGGAAUUCACACAUUAAGUGGCAAACAGCUCAUAAGUAAAGACGAUAGAAGCUGUUGAAAUAUUACGCUCCGGAAGGAUUCUCAAGAUUACACGAGAAAGUCGAACAGCUAACGAAGAAAUACUAAACAGAACUGGGGGAAAAUAAAUUUGUGGAGGGAGUUGGAGUCAUUCUGCAGAGGCGAAGUGGCUUGCACAAGAAAAUUAUCCUUAAGAGCUACAUCAAACCAAUCUUCGGACUGAGGCCCACAACUAUAACGAAUAUGUGGAACGCCAGACACGAUAAGGAACAAAGAUGAGAUAGAACACUGGUAGUUGCAGUGCGUUACACUGUGUAGAUGAGACUGAGAAAGAAAAUUCUAAAAUUGCAGUCCACAAAUGCAGAUACCGAGGUCAGCCUAGGACUACUCAACACAGGAUCAGCUUCGAACUGAAGAUAUCUGAAGAGAGAUCUUUUUUUUUUUUUUUUUGACGCUCCGGAAGCAUUCUCAAGAUUACACGAGAAAGUCGAACAGCUAACGAAGAAAUACUAAACAGAACUGGGGGAAAAUAAAUUUGUGGAGGGAGUUGGAGUCAUUCUGCAGAGGCGAAGUGUCUUGCACAAGAAAAUUAUCCUUAAGAGCUACAUCAAACCAAUCUUCGGACUGAGGCCCACAACUAUAACGAAGAUGUGGAACGCCAGACACGAUAAGGAACAAAGAUGAGAUAGAACACUGGUAGUUGCAGUGCGUUACACUGUGUAGAUGAGACUGAGGAAGAAAAUUCUAAAAUUGCAGUCCACAAAUGCAGAUACCGAGGUCAGCCUAGAACUACCCAACACAGGAUCAGCUUCGAACUGAAGAUAUCUGAAGAGAGAUCUUUUUUUUUGACGUUACUGAACACUUUAAGUGAAGAUAGGUACAGUCGACAAUCAUGCCUGUUCGUAUGUCUUGAUAAGCUCGUAAAGCUUCAGUUGUGUACAGCUCGCAGCACUGGGAACGCAACACGCACCGGAAAUUGUAACGAUUUUACUUAUAGAUCGUUUUGAUUUUCUGUAAUUGAGUAUAAUUACUGCAUAUUGUUUUGUAUAUACAUUGUAACACUUACUUUUAUCUGUUGGAAACGCUGAGAUGUUUCAGCCUCGAAUGUGCAAAUAAGAAUAGAGAUGAGUCGUUACGUUGUAGCUGUAUGGCAGCGUUUGAGGGUCUGGGUUUUCCCCAAAGUAAUUAUGUUUCGUGUUGUUACAUAUUAACCCUGUGGAUUACUAAUUGUUUCUUUUCAGUUUUGCUGUUACGAUGUGUUGUGUUAAUACCUUUCUUGUGAAAUGUUAUGCUGUUUUUCUAUUGUACAAUAAAAUGAAUGUUAAAUGUAAA